rnacentral:lncRNA from 1 species
UUGUCGCUUUCGACGAUGGCUUGGAUACGCAAAUACGACAUUACGUCCAACAUCAUCUGACGUAAUCAAACUAAUUUUACGUAACAAAUUUGAAACCGUUAACGGUUCCAUAUACGUUUCUAGGAUUGUUAUAGAAUGAAAUGAGAUAUGAGCGGUUUGACAUAUAUAGAAUUUCACACAAAAACUCGAAAAAGUGUCCAAUUCUCCCGUGAUCUAAAAUUUGGAAGCGAACCAAAGAGACAUCUCCACCGUCAUCAAGAUAAGAGA